GAUGAACGCUGGCGGCGUGCCUAAUACAUGCAAGUCGAGCGAACAGACGAGGAGCUUGCUCCUCUGACGUUAGCGGCGGACGGGUGAGUAACACGUGGAUAACCUACCUAUAAGACUGGGAUAACUUCGGGAAACCGUAGCUAAUACCGGAUAAUAUAUUGAACCGCAUGGUUCACUAGUUAAAGACGGUUUUUCUUUCACUUAUAGAUUGAUCCGCGCCGCAUUAGCUAGUUGGUAAGGUAACGGCUUACCAAGGCAACGAUUCGUAGCCGACCUGAGAGGGUGAUCGGACACAAGGGAACUGAGAAACGGUACAGACACCUACGGGAGGCAGCAGUAGGGAAUCUUCCGCAAUGGGCGAAAGCGUGACAGAGCAAAGCCGCGUGAGUGAUGAAGGUGUUCGGAUCGUAAAACUCUGUUAUUAGGGAAGAACAAAUGUGUAAGUAACUAUGCACGUCUUGACGGUACCUAAUCAGAAAGCCACGGCUAACUACGUG
rnacentral:rRNA from 1 species